UGUUUGGAAACCGACGGAGAAAACCUUUAUCGCGUCGAUUGUCUUGGAUUUUCAUCAGGUUGUCCUGACGAAGACUAUCAAAGCAAUACAAUAUACCAAUAUACUGCUUGUCAAAGAAUCAACACUGAAAAACAAUGUUUUCUUGCUGAAUCCUCAUGUCCUAAUAUCUCAUGGAGCACUGCUACCAGCAACACAUCAUUUCAUAUCCAAACAACAACACCCGCUCCUCAAUAUGACCCAUCAUAUGCAGCAGAGAUUGCAGGCGGUCUGGUUGCUGGUCUGUUUAUACUUGCCGUUAUUCUGAUAAUUGCUGUGGUCCUUUGGAGGAGACAGAAGCAUCAGAAAAUUCAGGAACAAGAAGACACACAAUGCAUUCUCUUCAAGCGGAAACGUAUCAAAUGUGACGAAGAAAGUCGG